ACACGUACCUCUAACUACUGAAGGCUUAUUCCAUCCAUUACCGAUUACUACAGUUGUACAGUGCCCCAGUGAGUGGAACAAAUACAACAGCCACUGCUACAAACUGAUGACAGUCGAAGUCAGCUGGCCUACAGCGAGCUCACAAUGCAAACGCCAUGGCGCAAUUCUUGCCUCUAUCACUGACCAGGCCGAGAACAACUUUAUUGCAAAUCUGCUCUCGAAAUUUACUGAUAACAGGGAUGAACCGUUAAUCUGGCUGGGUCUGUAUAGAGAUUCUGAAGAAUGGAAGUGGACAGAUGGGUCACGUAUUGACUACAAAAACUGGGCUCCGGGGGAGCCGAAUGACAGUCAAAUUGACUCGGAUUGGAAGGGAGAGGACUGCGUCUCAGUGUAUUCGAAGACCGGAAAAAAUUGGCUCUUUGGAAAAAAGAGGCACGCGGGACAGUGGAACGACUCCGGAUGCGACUCUGAUGACUACCCCUACAUUUGCGAGAAACCAAUUUAACAGCUAGAGUUCCAACACCUCUAAAUCUAAAAUUCCAAAAUCUAAUAAUAUCGAGGUCUCAUCAACAUCUACAAAUGUACUACGUAUGAAGGCAAUCCAUCCAAGUAUUCACACACACUAACACAUGUGAACGCUGCGUAAAACACUAACGUCCUUGGCGAAUUUAAUAGCAGUAACAGCGUAUUUAAGUAGAAAACUUUCCAACACGAGUCACGUAACUUUGGUGAUUGAUCACUUGAAUUCUGAAUAUGACCUAAGCUUGUGUAUGACUACAAAAAAAUCGAUAAUAUUACUUGUUGUAUUGGACAAACGUUAAGCUCUGUCGUAUGUUUGUUCAUAACCAACACAUGUCAAUUUGCAACCUACGUGUGGUCCAAUGCAUGGAUUCUGUAAUGCAAGUUUAUACCAUGAAUUCAUAGGGUGCCUAUAGUAAGUAUGUGCACGAAUUUUAUGAAAUUCGUGUGAAUUUUAUGAAAAAAAAAGAACACAAAUCACUAUGCGAAGACGUGUGAAUCUUAUGUGAUACGCACGAAUCACUAUGUGAUACGAUAAUCUUUAUAAAAUUCGCACGAAUCUCAUGAAAUUUGUGCAACACUGUUAUUGAUGGAGCAUGCGGACCUGAGUGAGUGAGUGUUAUUGACAAGUGUUUUGUCAUUGUACAUGUUUAAUUCCAUUUGUAUUGUCUCUGCUUUUGUCAGCAAGGCUAUCCCUUUGUAAUAGCCACCGGCUAGUUGGGUAACCCUGGCUGUGCUUGCUAAACAGCCAAACCAAGAGAUAAAUUCGUGCAAAUGCUUAGGCACCCUCGCAAUUAGAAGUGAAUAUUGUGGGUGUAGAGCAUAUAGGGAGAGGCAGUGAAUACCACGUAAGGUAUGCAGCCUGAUGUAAAUUUCUAUAUUUUGUAUACUGUUGAGUUUUUACUUUCUCGUUGGAAUCAGUGAAGAAUGAAAUGAACAUGUUUUAUAGAUGGUAGGACGCUUCUACCAAUACGAGAGCUAUGUCCUAAGUUGAGAAAAGCUAAGGAGAAACAUCAGCAAGAUAUUUUUCGGCUUCAAAUUGAGGACUUUGACAAUGAAAUGUGUUUUAUUUCAGCUUGAUGUUCUAAUUGAAAUAGUUGUACGUGUUAACUUAGUAAUCUGUAGAGAUAUUUGUGUAUGUAUCUUGUGCACUUUAUGUAAUAUACAAAACGUGUUUAUGGUACUGCUCAAUACAUACAAAGAACACAUGUCGACAGUCCACGUAUAGAUUAUAAUAUUCAACGGUUUCUGAAACGAAUAGCGACGAAAUUAGAGCAAACGGUUCAGAUGAUUGGGUAGAACAAUGUUUGCAAGUUGGAUGUAUGUACUUGUGAAGGCCGACGAAGUUACCUACGGAGACAGUACUAGUAUGCUCGACGUCGUAGCUUAGUAUGAAUUUUGCAUGCGUAUUUUUCUUAAUCUUUAGAUUCUAUUGCGCAUUUAUAGAUGCUAUUUACUUCUUGAAGUAUAGAAUAAGGCCAUUAAACCUGACAAUAGAAAAACAUGACAAUGGCAAAGGUGUUUAUAAGUACGUUUCUAUUAGAAGUAUUCUAUUAGUAUUCCUUUAGAAACAUUACAAGUAUUCCUUUUAAAAGUAUUACUAGUACUCAUUUUAGAAAUAUUUAAUUCCUUUUGUAAGCAGUACAAGUAUUAAUUCAGAAUGUCUGAAUGAUGCAUGUAACAUCUGUGCUCAUUUUCUGAACAGAAAUCUUAAUUAAACUAAAAGCUUCACUGAGGACAAGGCGUUUCAAAUAGAAACUCCUUAAUUUAAAUUACACUCGGGUCUAGCCUGCGAGGCAAUCGACUAAUUUGUAAGACUCAUUAGUAUAGUAGAAACAACAAAUCACAGCUCUUUCAUAUGGAAUCAAAUCUUCAGUCAAACCGAGCAUUUCUAUUAGCAGACAACAUAACUUUCAUCUUUAGCGAACGAUUGUAAAAUAAAUUUCAUUUCUGUUAUCAUUUGAAGGGCCGACAAUAAGUCACGAGUAUGUUUUAAUUCAUUUGACGUCUCUUGUUUAUUUUUCUCAGCCUUGAAAUGUAACCCUGCUAGCUGUCGUUUAUCCAGGUUGUCGUUAUUUGACUGUAAUAAUUAAAUACUUGUUCAAAAGUACUGUAACUUUGGUCAACUAUGUCUGAUCAUUACCUCUGUGAACAACAGACUACAUUCUUUUAUUUAGUUCUUACUAGAGCUCCCUGUGGAGUGAAUGAAUGAAUUAAUUAAUGAAUGGAUGGAUGGAUGGAUGGAUGGAUGGAUGGAUGAAUGAAUGAAUGAAU